rnacentral:lncRNA from 10 species
GACUGGGUUUCAUCAUGUUGGCCAGGAUGGUCUCAAUCUCCUGACCUUGUAAUCCGCCCCCCUCGGCCUCCCAAAGUGCUGGGAUUACAGGCGUGAGCCACCACGCCCGGCUUAAAAUUUAUAUAGAUCCCUCAGGCAUUAGAGAGCAUAACUGGCCAAGACUGGUUUUGUCAAUAAAAUCUAAUUUGAACUAUCUCCAGCAUGAAGGGAGAAGGGAGGGAUUUAUUUUAUGGUUACAGAGGUACCUUGUGGAACCCAAGGGCAGGAAUGGAGCCUGGGAAGCUGUUAGGAUCUCAUCUUUGCUUCUGACUCUAAAGUCACUUUCUCCUCUCGAACUUGGCAAGCUGACUUCUCUACCUCGCAGGUACCCAUGGUGGAACAUGGCCACCUCACAGAGUUAUAGUUUCGUCCACCUACAGAGAGUUCACAUCCUCAGGGGAGAAUCCCUUUGGCUUAGCUUAGGCCAGGUAAGAUAGCAUAAUACAAAAAGAGCAGUGGGCAUCUCCCUCAUUUCACCACAGGCCUUCUUGAAUUUUUGGCACUUUGGGGCUCUAAGGCAUUGGUGGUGUGGCGCAGCAGGAGAAAGCAAAGCACCAGCGCCCAGCAGUGCUGGGCAACAGCAUCCAGGACAGUCUAAGCUCCUCAGGAAAAGCAGCAGUCCAGCUGGGCACAGCAGGAGGAACACAGGCACACUCGGAGGAAGUGGUACAGGGCAGAGGCACCACCCAGUUAGCAAGAUUUAUCCAAAAGCCCAUGUAAUUCAUCCCUGUAGCACUCACACCUAGGUAUCUGAGUGGAAUCUAUAGGAGGCAGAUGGGGCAAGAAUCUUGGAAAGUUGUGCUAUUAAUGCUAAUAUCACUGUAUUUGUUGAGUUUUGAGGGUGUUAUGUAUAUAUAAAGCUCCUACCAAAUUACCUAGCACAUCAAUGGUGCUUAAUAAAGGUAGGUAUUCUUGUUAUCAGUACUGAGAUUUAGAUAGUUUGCUUUUCCAAUCCCAGUCUCUCACCUGAAUUCCAGCCUUGUAUUUCCAGCUACCUACAUAUCACUUCCACAUUAAUAUCUCAUAAAGAUCUCAAAUGUAACAAAUAUAAAACCAAACACUUGAUUCCUGUCACCCACACACAAACACUCUCUGCUCAACCCACAGCCUCCUCCUGUGUCUAGCGAUGGCACCACCCUUCACCAGGGCUCAGGCUUAAAUAGUGGCUCAAAGAAUUGGCCAUGUCUCUUUUCGUCUCACACCGUACAUUAAGUUCACCAGAAAACUAUGUUACACAUAUUCCAAAUCUGACCAUUCGAAAGGUCUCCCUGCUGACUCUUUCUCCUGCCCAUGCCUCCAUGGACUCUAACCUGGACUAUAGCAAGACACUAUUCACGAGCCUUCCUGCCUCCACACUUGCUCCUCUGUGGGCUCCAGCUCGCCAUGUGGCAACCAGAUAGAACCUACAAAACAUAAUAGAAUCACUCCCUGCUCAAAACUCCCCCCUGGUUUUCAUCACAUUUAGAAUAAAAUUCAAAACCUAUAGACAAACACAAAUUGAUGGACUUUCUACAAAAGUAUUGACUUGUACUCUUCAAAAAGAGCAGUGUCAUAAAAGACAAAGCAAAGCUGAGGAUCUGUUCCAGACUAAAGGAGACUAAAGAGACAUGGCAGUUAGAUGCAGUCAGUGUAGGAUUCUGGACCCUGAUGAGGGGGAAAAAUGGUUCUUAAAGGACAUUAUUGAGACAACGGAUAAAAUUUGAAUAUGAACUCUUAGAUUAUAGUGUUAUACAAUGUUAAAUUUUUAUGAAUUAUUAAAGAGCAUAUCCUUGUUCUUAGAGGCAUACACUGAGAUAUUUUGAAGUAAAAGGUCUGCAAAUUAUUCUCAAAUAAUUCAGCAGAUAAUGGUAAUGUGUAUGUGUAUACAUAGCUAGAUAAAUAGCCUGAAUGUGGCAGAAAUUUAAUAAUUAAUUUAGGUGACGCAUAUACAAAAGUUCAUUGUACUAUUUUUACAAGUUUUCUGCAAGUUCAAUUUUUUUUCCAAAAAAGUUAAAAACAAUCCUUAGCCCUAUGCUGGCUGAUAUGGUCUAAAUUUUCGGCCCACCCCCUUCUCACUUUAACCACAUCUAUCUUUGCUUCUUCUAGGACAGGUAUGCUUCUGCCUCAGGACUUCUCAUCCACUCUCCUCCCUCAGAUAUUUGCAGGCGUAAAGCCCUUCUCUUUAUUCAGGCUCUGAGAGGCCCAUCAUGACCACUCUAUCUAAAAUGAUACCCCAUCCCUUGCACCCUGCUUUGUUUUUCUUCAUUAUCUUACUACAGUCCUUGUUUAUGUGUUCAUUGUCUGUCUCCAGCAUUAGGAUGUAAAGUCCAUAAGGAAGAAAAUUUUUCCUAUUUAUUGUUUUGGGCCCAGAGAAGACAGUUGUGCCCACUAUGUAUAAACAGAAGAAGGAAGGAAGGAAGGGAGGGAGAGAAGGAGGGAGGGAAGGAGGGAUUCAAUUUGGUAAUGCUUCAAGAGUAUAACUAGAACUGAAACUAGAAGAAACAAAAAGUGAAGGAGUCAAGAGUAAGCUGACAGAUGUGAUUUUAUAAUCAGAAAGGCUUUAAGCUUAUGGUAAUCACUUUUUCUGAUACUUGCCUGUUAGAGAUAUCAGUAAUGGAGGCUGUAUGGAAGGGAGGGAGUUGGUUCUAGAACUAGACUGAUCCUGUAUCCAGUGCAGGGGAAGCAAAGGGAUCUAAUAUCUAUUGAUCACCUACUAUGGCCAGACACAAUGCAGGCACCUUGCAAACUCUAUGAGAUUUGAGGAAACUGAGGAAAGUGGUUGAGUAAUUAGAUUGAUCACCAAUCAGUGAGGGACAGAGCUUACAUUAGAAUUUAGACUCCUUGGGACUCUAAAACUCAUGCUCCCCAUAUGAAGCCAUGAUCCUGCCCAAUAGUGUCUUACUGUUGCUAUAAGGUUUACACUGAAUUUUAGUACCUACUUGAAAGAAAAUACUAACAAAGUCUGAACAAAUAGCCCUAUUAAGCUAACUCCCUUUUAUGAAUAAAUAAACACUAAAAAUGACCAUUUUAAUUGUUUGCUAACAGGGCAUCUAAAAUAUUUGAGAAUACUGUCACUAAAAUGUAAAUGUUUAUCCUAUAAUAUUACUUAUCAAACACUUGUUUAAUUAUUAUAAAAAUGAAUUUUUCCCCUUGUCCAUAGCAAAUACAAAAAUGAAUUGUAUUAUCUUUGUUUAAAUCAGUGGGGUCAACAAAUCGGGCUAAAGAAUCUAUAGCCUGUUUUGUGCGUAAACAUCUGUAUAAACACAUAUGCAUAUGUAUAAUGUCAAUAAAACCUUAUGUAAGCUUCAGCAUUACUAAUCACUACAUUAAAAUGUGCUGAAACUUGUCCACUCAUCAGAACCACAUUCUUUGGCAAUCACAGGAUAGUAUUAUGAAUUCAGUUUAUAAAAUAACUACCUGCAAUAGAAUAGAGAUUUUAGUGAGUAGAAAAAUUGGACUGAAUGUAGCAUAAAAUGGAAAAGUAAUUCAUUUAACAAACAUUUAUUGAAUACCUACUAAGUACAAGCCA